UAUUCUCAGAGAGCAGCAUGCUGGCAUCCAAUAACACAACAGCAACAAAACCUUCGCAAAGAAAUGCCCUGUGCUACUGCUGAUGCCUCUAGAGACAUCAGUCAAGCUUCUGCCAGCUACUCUGUAAUGUUAGCUGUUCUUCUCAGUCGAGAUGCUGUCCUAGCUGCUCUCUGAUGAUGAGACAGAGCAUUCUGACCAACAGGGACUUGGAAAGGGUUCAUAUGGCUUAUCCGUCCUCCGUCACGGAAGAAAGUAAGGGCCGGAACUCAAGAUGACCACUGGAUGGUACUGCAGACCUGCAAGCUCCUAUUCCUACUUGUGUGAUCCAGUAGUGAGUCUUGGAGAGCUGCCUGCCAGGUAGAUGGGAGGUCUUACAGGGUCACCAGCUUACAAACAAGGACACAGUGACAGCAGCAGCUGCCACCACGACAGAAGGCAGC